GACGAACGCUGGCGGCGUGCUUAACACAUGCAAGUCGAGCGGAAAGGCUCCUUCGGGGGUACUCGAGCGGCGAACGGGUGAGUAACACGUGAGUAAUCUGCCCUGUGCUCUGGGAUAACCACCGGAAACGGUGAUUAAUACCGGAUAUGACCGCUCCACGCAUGUGGUGGUGGUGGAAAGUUUUUCGGCGCAGGAUGUGCUCGCGGCCUAUCAGCUUGUUGGUGAGGUAAUGGCUCACCAAGGCUUUGACGGGUAGCCGGCCUGAGAGGGUGACCGGUCACACUGGGACUGAGACACGGCCCAGACUCCUACGGGAGGCAGCAGUGGGGAAUAUUGGACAAUGGGCGGAAGCCUGAUCCAGCAACGCCGCGUGAGGGAUGACGGCCUUCGGGUUGUAAACCUCUUUCAGUAUCGACGAAGCGAUCCUUUGGGUGAGUGACGGUAGGUACAGAAGAAGGACCGGCCAACUACGUGCCAGCCGCCGCGGUAAUAC
rnacentral:rRNA from 1 species